CUCAUUGUAAGAUGCCUUGAAGACCUAGCCAAAGAUGGCAAGAUUAUAGAGAAGGUGUAUGGAAAGCAAAAGAUUUAUUUUGCUGAUCAGAGCCAAUUUCCAAGUGUAGAUGAGAAAGAAUUGAAAGACAUGGACACCAAGAUCACUGGGUUGACAGCAAGUUUAGAGACUUCCAGGACAAAAUGCAAACAAAUGGAGAAAGAAAUCGCAAUGUUGAAUAGUUCCUUGACCAAUGAUGAAGCCAAGCAGAGGAUACAAGAACUCACAGCUAUGG